AUUGAACGCUGGCGGCAUGCCUUACACAUGCAAGUCGAACGGCAGCACGGGAGCAAUCCUGGUGGCGAGUGGCGAACGGGUGAGUAAUAUAUCGGAACGUGCCCAGUAGUGGGGGAUAGCCCGGCGAAAGACCGGAUUAAUACCGCAUACGACCUGAGGGUGAAAGCGGGGAGUCGCAAGACCUCGCGCUAUUGGAGCGGCCGAUAUCAGAUUAGCUAGUUGGUGGGGUAAAGGGACCUACCAAGGCUACGAUCUGUAGUUGGUCUGAGAGGACGACCAGCCACACUGGGACUGAGACACGGCCCAGACUCCUACGGGAGGCAGCAGUGGGGAAGUUUUGGACAAUGGGCGGCAAGCCUGAUCCAGCAAUGCCGCGUGCAGGAAGAAGGCCUCGGUU
rnacentral:rRNA from 1 species